rnacentral:rRNA from 1 species
UACGUAGGGCGCAAGCGUUGUCCGGAAUUAUUGGGCGUAAAGAGCUCGUAGGCGGUUUGUCGCGUCUGCUGUGAAAUCCCCGAGGCUCAACCUCGGGCUUGCAGUGGGUACGGGCAGACUAGAGUGCGGUAGGGGAGACUGGAAUUCCUGGUGUAGCGGUGGAAUGCGCAGAUAUCAGGAGGAACACCGAUGGCGAAGGCAGGUCUCUGGGCCGC